rnacentral:lncRNA from 1 species
AGUGUUUAUAAGGAGACCAGGCUUCCUCGUUUUAUAAGUGCUUGGGUGGCUUUAAUGGAGAAGGAGUCUAAUGAUUUUUGACACGUGUUAAUGGUGUGUGUCACGUUCUUUAUAUUUUCAUAAUGACGACUCUAAUUUCUGAUGGCAUGUGUCACAUUGCAUAUAUUUGUUAAAUAUAGGUCAUGAGCUAAAAAUAGGCACAAUAUUAGCAAAAUAUGUAUGGUAACAAUUGCAUAUACCUCACUGCAGCAAGCUUAAUUCAUCAUAAAGCUGAUUCUGGUGGGUAUGCUAAAACUCAGUGGGAAAAUGUUUUUUAAAAUCUUGUCUUAAAAGACAGUGGCAAAAAAAUAGGCUUUGGUGGCAUUGAUACUGAUGAGAAAAAGGAGUCCUUUCUAACAGGAGGUUAUUCUUAGAGAUGGCACCUCUUGCUAGUGUAAGAACGCUGAAUAAUGCUGAUGCAGUAAUGUGGUAGUCGUUGAUUUAUACGGUUUGGCAAAAACUAGAAACAGCACCUCUGGGGAGAAAGGGUAACAGGAGAGACACAUUUCAGCUAUUGUUGAAACACGGCUGCUCAGCGUUACAGCUGUGACCUUCUGCCGCUCGGCGCGUAUGGUUGAUAUUACUCUUCUUCAGGGAGGAGCACAGGUGAUAAGUAACCAUCUUUUAGGUCCCACAAUUCACAUAAAAGCUUGCGAUAUGAAAGCCAGAACCGCUGGAGAGGCAGCAGGUGAGCAUCCCUGUGGAUCAGAGGGGCUGACAGGCUCCAGUUGUUCUGUUAACCAGUUCCUCGCUGCUUUUAUUAAAGUUAAAUAAUCAAACCUGUACGGACUGCUGUAAUACCACCCUUCUGCUACAGCACUUGCUUGGUCAGGCUGUAGAACUGAUGUAAGCUGAAUGAUGCUCUUACAGUGCGUGAUGUAAGUGGGAGUAAGGCUUGCUUUAGGGAAGCUAGGUCAACAGUUUGAAAUGAAGCAGGGGAAUUGCCUGUGUUACGUGUAUCUGAGCUUUCAAAACCACACCUCAGCGGAGGGUUUCUGCACUUCCAGUUUGAUCCCACCAGAAAUAAUACAUCAGGAAAAAGAAAGGAACAUCAUCUUAGCCAAGAAACUUCUCACUUUAGUAACUUUACAUCUUCAACAGCUGCAUUCGUGAUUCAUAAAUGCUUGAAAUCAAAACCCCCUUCAUAUC